UACGAAGGGGGCUAGCGUUGCUCGGAAUUACUGGGCGUAAAGCGCACGUAGGCGGCUCUUUAAGUCGGAGGUGAAAUCCUGGAGCUCAACUCCAGAACUGCCUUUGAUACUGGGGAGCCUUGAGUUCGGGAGAGGUGAGUGGAACUGCGAGUGUAGAGGUGAAAUUCGUAGAUAUUCGCAAGAACACCAGUGGCGAAGGCGGCUCACUGGCCCGAUACUGACGCUGAGGUGCGAAAGCGUGGGGAGCAAACAGGG
rnacentral:rRNA from 1 species